UGUCAUUUAUCUCCACGCAAUGUUGGAAUGCGAGAUGCCAUCUUCAUAAAUUUGCCUGGCAUCCAGGAUAAAUACCACGCCGUGAUCUCUAAACAGUCUGUCUGCGGGGAAUCCAUUGUGUGGAAAGACCAACAAGUCAGGAUGCGCCUGUCCUGCACGAUGCAGAAUCAGUCAAGGUGAAGAGCUGAGCUCCUAAACUGAUAUCUGGGAUUGAUCUGAAGCUGCUUUGGAAAAAUAAAUGGCUUUCACAAGGUUCCUUCCCCGCAGAAGCCUCUGGUUGGAUUCAUGCCAUAAAGCAGACAUAUUUACCGUUCAUGAAGUGGUGCGAGCUGCCAAGCAUGCUGCAUGCAACAAAUGGACAUGGGAAGAGAAGGAGGCACACCACCAUUAGCAGACCCGAAGCCUGGCCGGUGUUUCUGAAUGUGGGCUUCAUUGGCAAGGUUUCCUGCACCAGCCACAUGUCAUCUGAAGAGCUACAUUCCCCAUUGCCCCCACGGUUGAAGUGUUACACAGGUGUUCUGGUUUUGAGGAUUAAAACAUUCUUUUGAUGUUUCCACUGUCUCUCAAGUCAGGAAAUGUAGCCUGCCAGAUUGGCAGAGGUAGGGGUAAAGCGGGUCGACACUACUGCACCAUCCUCAUCUCGGGCAGUUCAGGUCAGUCAGAGCUCGGGCAGGCGCCUUGCCUAGCUGAAGGACCGAUAAUAGUGAAGCUGUGGCGGUGACUAGCGCCGGGUGCAAAACCUGCCUGAGCAACCGGGCAGAUGCUCAGGUAUUUGCCGCUCGGGUGGGUUUGCCUGUGCUCGGCUCUAGCCUGCCAUGCCCCCCCCCCCCCGUGCUAAAUUGAAAAGCAGAAGGGUCUGUUGCAUACUCACGAGUGGUAAUUUAUGGUCGGUUUUGUUUUUAAUUCUAUCUCUGAAAUGAUACUGCACUUCCCCAGGAAGGAGCAGCCUGUGCUGUAAGCGUGCUCGGUGGCGUCCCUCCAGCGGAACUGGAUUGCUCGCUACGUGAUAUACAAGUGCCCGCACAGCUUCGGCACAUCUCGCUGCACGCGAGGGUGCUGCACAGAAAACAAGAGCCACUUUUUCUGAAUGUCGGGACACUUUUCAAACACUGGAAUGUGCGGUGUAGCUGCCUCCCUGCCGGGAACCAUCAGCAACCCUAGUCAAUUAGGAGAGUGUUCUCAUUUCUGACAGCGGGGAUGUUUCCUUGUCGUCCAGUGUCAUCCCUAGCACGAGGGAGAGAGCAGGGCCCCUUGGAUCGCAGUGAGAGAGAGAGGCAGUGAGAGUGAACUUGCCACUGGGACUUGCCUUCAGAGGUUCCGCCCUUCCAGAGAUCAGAAGCAUCGAUCAGGUUAUCAUUGUCCUGGCCGCCGUAACGUGUCAGUAGUCCUGGAGAGCUAGAUUAGACGAGAAAGCAGAAGCAUCUUCUUGUUCUUCACGUGUGCUGUGAAACAGCUGGCUGUCGCACAGUGGAGAACUUGCUCUCAAGCCUGCUCCCUGGCAAAGAUGCACAGGUUCACGCCUGUUGAGCCCCCAGGAGCCAAAGACCUGGACCUGGACCCCCCAGCGAAAGGCCGGGAGAUAAAAGCUGGGCCGACAGAGAGGGCAGGGGUGCUUGCAGGGGUUUGAGGGAGUGUGUGUGUGGGUGCGCAAGUGUGCGUGCGUAUGGGGCUGUGCUGGGUGGGAUGCACUGGUUGAGUGAAGCCUGGGGGGGACCCCCACCCCACCUCCAGUCUCUACUUAGUUGAGCCCCCCCAGGGAGCCCUGUGACUGGAGCUGUGCAAACAGAGCAUGCAAACAGGCACAGCCUGACAAAGACGCAGCAGUUUGCACAGGAGUUUGUGCAGUGGGGUGCGCACUAGGCACCUGAAGGGCUGGUCCGAGCAAGUGACCUGAGCCCAGAGGCCUAGAGAAAAGCUGCUGAGACCAGGUAAGUACGGGAAGUAGCUCGCGGCCACGGAAGUGACCUGAUGUGCCUGUCAGCAUCAGCUUCUUGGUGCUGAGACCUCCAUCCAGACUGGCCCUGCACCAUGGGGGCUGCCAACACCCGAGCAUGGGCGCACCCCCCCUUGUGGGAUGCAUGCCUUGGUGGAGUCCCUGGAGGGCUGAGUGUGGGAGCUCGAGGAGGAGGUAUGAGAGCUGCCAUGACAGGGACCAUGAAGAUUACAGCCACAACAACUGCCAGGCCCUAAUCCAAGGGAACGGGGGAGGAGGUGGCCACAAACCGCUCCACAAGCUCCCUGGAAAACGGUCGUCUCCAUAUCUGGGGCACGCAGAGCUAGGGCUGCUCCUCCCCUGGCACUGCACAACAGGUACGCUCCCCUCACGGCGCAAGAGGAGACUCUGACAGAGACACCAAAGGAGGAGGUAAGUAUUCAGGAGGUAAGUAUCCCUGCCCCUAGGAGGAGACACUGGGCGGUGGCAGCGGGGGGACUCUCUCCUGAGAGGUACGGAGGAACCCACCUGCUGUCUGGACCCCGUAGCCCGAGAGGUCUGCUGGCUCCCUGGGACCCGCAUGCAAGAGGAUCCCCAGGCUCGUCCAUCCCUCCGAUUAUUACCCUGCACUCCUUGUCUGUGUGGGCACGGACCAUGUGGCCAAGGGUAACCCUGACUUGGACAUGAGUGACUGCAGGGCCCUGGGCUCGAGGGACUGGGGGCUCAAGUCAUUUUCUUUUCUGUGUUCCCUGUUGCAGGCCAUGGAGCCAGGAGGGAAGGCUGCAUGGAAGAUAUCAACAGACGCCUCCUACAAUGGUGUGACCACGAGGGUUUUGUUUUCUUUGACCCCAGCAUGCACUUCAGAGAGAGAGGACUACUAGGAGAGGCCCCUGAACCAAGCAGAGGAGCUGGAUGUGGACUUCUCUAGAGAACCGACAGAGAGGCUGGGCGUCCCAGGGUGACUUCAAGUACCUGGACUCAGCUCGGGAGGAAUGCUCGGCUAGGUCGGAUCAGUCACGCAGUUCCCUGACUGCGAUAGAGAACCUCUUCCUGAUCCAGGAUGUGCAAGGGCGAAGCAGAGGUGUGGCUGAAGGGCCUGUUGGUGGAGUAUUGGAGACGUAAGCACAGUAACUGGUAUCUGAAAGAAGACAUAUUCAUCCUUCAGCAUUUAUGAUGGGUGCUCAUGGUCCUUGUGGUAUUUAAACAAAACAUUACUUGAGGUAGAGAGAGAUCAUAAGAAACAGGUUGAGGAUUUCUUUGCCACAGUCUAUUCAUGCACAGGUAAGCUGUGUACAAAUCUGCAAUAACUUUGUAUAUGAACACUUUGAGCAUACUUUUAAGUUCAGCUCAGUGUAAUGCAGCUAACUCCAGAGAUCCUCUAGAAUUGUUAUGGUUCUGCUUAACCUCAACAUUUAUUUCCAAGAGCUACUUUUACAGUAGAGACUUGGGUUUUUGUUAGUUUUGUAUGGGGGGUGGAAUUAAAUUAAUUUUGCUUUGUUUUCAAUUGAGCUGAGCUGCAUAGAACCCAUGCUGGAGCUCUUUCAAAUUGUCCAUAAUGGAAACCAGUGAAGAGUAGUUGGUAUGCUGUUAAUUCACACCCUAUCUUCCUAGGCAGGCACACAAGUCCUAAACAUUGAAAACGUUAAAGGGCACAUUGGUACUGAUGUGGUAAGACUUUUGGCUCGCAUGUUCUCGAGCAUGUCGACACUUCAUCUUGAUGUGGAGUAUAAAAAUGCCACCUUUAACCCUUUACAGUAGUUACUUUCCCUUUUGGGGUUGGUAGUGUAAUUUUUUUAAAUCUAUUUUUCCUCCUUGUCCAUAUGCUCUUAAUUGGAUUACCUAAAUGAAGGUUGUAAAAUUCCCCAGUUUUCGGGCUUGAUUUCUUUAGUUAUUGUUGUUAUGAUUUG